rnacentral:rRNA from 1 species
UACGUAGGGGGCAAGCGUUGUCCGGAAUUAUUGGGCGUAAAGCGCGCGCAGGCGGCUUUGUAAGUCUGUCGUUUAAGUUCGGGGCUCAACCCCGUAUCGCGAUGGAAACUGCAAGGCUUGAGUACAGAAGAGGAAAGUGGAAUUCCACGUGUAGCGGUGAAAUGCGUAGAGAUGUGGAGGAACACCAGUGGCGAAGGCGACUUCCUGGCCUGUUCUUGACGCUGAGGCGCGAAAGCUAGGGUAGCAAACGGG